GGGGCUGUAGUUCAGUUGGUUAGAACGCCGGCCUGUCAAGCCGGAGGUCGAGGGUUCGAGUCCCUUCAGUCCCG
rnacentral:tRNA from 1 species